UAAAAAAUUAUGGAAUGCAAAUAUAACUUUCCCUAAUGAUGAGAUUUAAAAGUACAAAUACGCUCCUGAAAUUUGUUUUAGAAGUGCAAUUAUUUAAAAUAUAAUUCACCCAUAUAUUUUUAAAAACUGUAUAAAUUUACUCCAGAUUAAUAAAUUUUAAACCAUCAUUUGACCAACUAUACUUACUUGGCAUGUAUAUUUGGCUUCCACCUCAUUUUUGUGGGUUAAAUCAUUUCCUCACCUGGAAAUUCUUUAUUUUUCACCCCUACUCUUUGACUCCUCAACAAACCCGGGCGUCUGAUCACCAUCCUCAAGAUCAGCAAGUCCAACAUCAGGACGCAAACUCGUUCGAAACCCCCAUGGCUCCGAGAUCGGAAAGAUCAUCUUCCCUCUUCCUCCUUCUCUACUUAGUCAUGGUUGUCUUUGAAUUCGAGGGUUUCAGAGAGGGUGGGAGAGGGAUAGAGAAAAGUGAAGUGUUCUGAUGGGUUUCGACGAACAGGGACAGGGAUCAGAUGUGACUCAGUUCCCGACGGUGUUCCUUUGGGGGGGGGGAUGAUAACAAGUUAAAGUCAAAAAAAAAAAAAAAUGCAAAACCAAACUUGCCAUCGGGAUUACGAGGAUCGCAAGAAGCUUCUGGAUCGCGCGAAAGACGAUCUCAGGAAUUCAUCCUCACAUGCGAUUCUCGCUCAACCUUCCAGGUUCGAGCUUGUCAUUAUGAGCUCCAGAAAAAGAAGCAAGAAAACAGGGUUGAGCCCCUGAAGAUUUGAUUUCAGAUUGAUGAAAACCUCGAAGAAGUCUAGUCAAGCGGUUAGUGAAAAUCGAUUUCAGGCUGGUGUUCUUCGUUGUGAAGCAGCUUUCUGGUUUGAAGUUUCUCAAUUAGGUUUGAAAUUUCUGGCUUCUUGAGUUCGUCGUCGAGAAGCAACAUCACUGGCCAAACACGAAAUUUGAUUAAUCUUGGCUUGCAACAAAAUCAAAUCUCAUUUUUGAUGUGUUUA